rnacentral:rRNA from 1 species
UACAGAGGUCCCAAGCGUUGUUCGGAUUCACUGGGCGUAAAGGGUGCGUAGGUGGCUAGGUAAGUUCGAUGUGAAAUCUCCGGGCUUAACCCGGAAAGUGCAUUGAAUACUAUCUAGCUCGAGGGUUGGAGGGGGGACUGGAAUUCUCGGUGUAGCAGUGAAAUGCGUAGAUAUCCGAGAGGAACACCAGUGGCGAAGGCGAGUCCCUGGACAACUCCUGACACUGAGGCACGAAAGCUAGGGGAGCAAACGG